CUCGUAGUUGGACCUUGGGUUGGAUCAAUCGAUCCAUCUACAUUGAGCAUCAGUUGACUUGUCCCUUCUAUCAACGAUGCGCUCCUGACCUUAACUGGUCGGAUCGUACUACCAACACUGUUACUUUGAAGAAAUUAGAGUGCUCAAAGCAAGCCUACGCUCUGUAUACAUUAGCAUGGGAUUACAUCAUAUGAUUUCAAUCCUAUUCUGUUGGCCUUGGGGAUCGGAGUAAUGAUUAACAGGGACAGUAGGGGGCAUUUAUAUUUCAUAGUCAGAGGUAAAAUUCUUAGAUUUAUGAAAGACGAACAACUUCGAAAGCAUUUGCCAAGGAUGUUUUCAUUAUUCAAGAA
rnacentral:ncRNA from 1 species